rnacentral:rRNA from 1 species
GAUCAACGCUGGCGGCGUGCCUAAUGCAUGCAAGUCGAACGGGGUCGCCUUCGGGCGGCUCACGUGGCGGACGGGUGAGGAACACGUGGGCGAUCUGCCCCGAGGUGGGGGAUAGCCACCAGAAAUGGUGGGUAAGACCGCAUGGCGUCCGAUGCUUACGAGCAGCGGAUGAAAGUCGCAAGACGCCUUGGGAGGAGCCUGCGGCGGAUUAGCUAGUUGGUGAGGUAACGGCCCACCAAGGCGAUGAUCCGUAGCUGGUCUGAGAGGAUGGCCAGCCACAGGGGAACUGAGACACGGUCCCCACUCCUACGGGAGGCAGCAGCAAGGAAUUUUCCGCAAUGGGCGAAAGCCUGACGGAGCAACGCCGCGUGGGGGAUGACGCUUUUCGGAGUGUAAACCCCUUUUCUCAGGGAAGAAGGGUUUCGGCCUUGACGGUACCUGAGGAAGAAGGACCGGCUAACUACGUGC